rnacentral:rRNA from 1 species
AGAGUGGCGGACGGGUGAGUAAAGUAUGGGGAUCUGCCGAAUGGAGGGGGACAACUGCUGGAAACGGCAGCUAAUACCGCAUAAAGUUGAGAGACCAAAGCGUGGGACUUUUUAGCCACGCGCCAUUUGAUGAACCCAUAUGGGAUUAGCUUGUUGGUAGGGUAAUGGCUUACCAAGGCGACGAUCUCUAGCUGGUCUGAGAGGAUGACCAGCCACACUGGAACUGAGACACGGUCCAGACUCCUAUGGGAGGCAGCAGUGGGGGAUAUUGCACAAUGGGGGAAACCCUGAUGCAGCCAUGCCGCGUGUAUGAAGAAGGCUUUCGGGUUGUAAAGUACUUUCGGUAAUGAGGAAGGUGUAUUAUCUAACAGGUAAUGCAAUUGACGUUAGUUACAGAAGAAGCACCGGCUAACUCCGUGCCAGCAGCCGCGGUAAUACGGAGGGUGCGAGCGUUAAUCGGAAUAACUGGGCGUAAAGGGCAUGCAGGCGGGUCAUUAAGUUAGGUGUGAAAUCCCCGGGCUCAACCUGGGAACUGCACUUAAAACUGGUGGUCUGGAGUAUUGUAGAGGAAGGUAGAAUUCCACGUGUAGCGGUGAAAUGCGUAGAGAUGUGGAGGAAUACCGGUGGCGAAGGCGGCCUUCUGGACAAAUACUGACGCUGAGAUGCGAAAGCGUGGGGAGCAAACAGGAUUAGAUACCCUGGUAGUCCACGCUGUAAACGAUGUCGAUUUGGAGUUUGGUGGCAUGACUGCUGGGGCUUCAAAA